ACGGAAGGCAGCAGUGGGGAAUAUUGGGCAAUGGGCGCAUGCCUGACCCAGCAACGCCGCGUGAAGGAUGAAGGUCUUCGGAUUGUAAACUUCUUUGAUCAGGGACGAAUAAUGACGGUACCUGAAGAGCAAGUCACGGCUAACUACGUGCCAGCAGCCGCGGUAAUACGUAGGUGACAAGCGUUAUCCGGAUUUACUGGGUGUAAAGGGCGUGUAGGCGGUUUGGCAAGUCAGAAGUGAAAUUCCCGGGCUUAACUUGGGCGCUGCUUCUGAAACUGCUUAACUUGAGUACUGGAGAAGAUAGUGGAAUUCCUAGUGUAGCGGUAAAAUGCACAGAUAUUAGGAGGAACACCGGUGGCGAAGGCGGCUAUCUGGACAGUAUCUGACGCUGAGGCUCGAAAGCGUGGGGAGCAAACAGGAUUAGAUACCCUGGUA
rnacentral:rRNA from 1 species